GUAUGAUGAGAUUAGCUGGCCCCUUGCCUCGAGCAACAAGGGACCUCGGGUACAGAUGGCUCGCCUGAAGAUCGACUUGUUACAGCCUCGGGAUUUCAUAUGGAUGCCCUAUAGCGCACUCGAC